rnacentral:rRNA from 1 species
UACGAAGGGGGCUAGCGUUGUUCGGAAUUACUGGGCGUAAAGGGCGCGUAGGCGGUGUGUCAAGUCAGGCGUGAAGGCCCCGGGCUCAACCUGGGAACCGCGCUUGAGACUGGCACGCUAGAGUUCGGGAGAGGAUGGUGGAAUUCCCAGUGUAGAGGUGAAAUUCGUAGAUAUUGGGAAGAACACCGAUGGCGAAGGCAGCCAUCUGGACCGACACUGACGCUGAGGCGCGAAAGCGUGGGGAGCAAACAGG